UACACACAGCGAAGAGGGCCUCAGCCCACAGCCCACCUGGCGCCUCCUGGCUAUGCUGGCCGGGCUCUACGCCUUCUUCCUGUUUGAGAACCUCUUCAAUCUCCUGCUGCCCAGGGACCCGGAGGACCUGGAGGACGGGCCCUGCGGCCACAGCAGCCAUAGCCACGGGGGCCACAGCCACGGUGUGUCCCUGCAGCUGGCACCCAGCGAGCUCCGGCAGCCCAAGCCCCCCCACGAGGGCUCCCGCGCAGACCUGGUGGCGGAGGAGAGCCCGGAGCUGCUGAACCCUGAGCCCAGGAGACUGAGCCCAGAGUUGAGGCUACUGCCCUAUAUGAUCACUCUGGGCGACGCCGUGCACAAC
rnacentral:misc_RNA from 1 species